UUAAUUAAAAAACAGAGCGAACCACACUGUAAUCCACUCUCUUUUAUUAAAUACAACAUAUUGGUGGUGACAUGUAGGAGAUUUACAACAUGGACAGCGUUCACUUGGUGCCUUCUUCAAGUUUGGGCUCUGAAAAAAAGGAGAAAGAACAGGAUUAUCAGUGAUAUAACUGCGUUUUAAUCUGUGCAGCUGGAAAACAUCACAAUACUGCAGAUUAAACUCAAAACAGACACUCAGAGAUUACAACUUUGAAGCUGGGAGCUGCUUCACCAUGAUUUCAAACAGUAUCGGAAAAUCAUCCUGCUCUGCUGCCUGUCACUAUAUUUAGAUGGAGACAAAGACUGAAAUCACAGCGACUCCCUCUGCUGGUGGAGGACUACUACUACUACUACUACUACUACUACUGUAGUUCAGUUUCUUGAGAUAUUAGGAUUAGGAUAGUAUAGUUGCUGAUGGUCUUGUUUGCUUUUGGAUUUAAUGAAAAGACAUCAGUACGACUCAAAGUGGCUUGAAACUGCAGCAACUUUCAUGACUCCGACCACGUUUAUGCUUCUGAAAAUUCUUCUUUCAACCAUUUUUCUUCAAUUUUGUUUUUGGAAUAAACAUUUAUCACACAAUUUCACUGAUUUAUUCUACAAAUAUUUUGGUUGUCCUUUUCUUUUUAACUAUCAAUCUCACUGAAUGAGGACCUUGCUUAAAAUAAAACAAAGGCAGCAGGAGAAAUGUAAUCCACUCUCUUUUAUUAAAUACAACAUAUUGGUGGUGACAUGUAGGAGAUUUACAACAUGGACAGCGUUCACUUGGUGCCUUCUUCAAGUUUGGGCUCUGAAAAAAAGGAGAAAGAACAGGAGGAUUAUCAGUGAUAUAACUGCGUUUUAAUCUGUGCAGCUGGAAAACAUCACAAUACUGCAGAUUAAACUCAAAACAGACACUCAGAGAUUACAACUUUGAAGCUGGGAGCUGCUUCACCAUGAUUUCAAACAGUAUCGGAAAAUCAUCCUUGCUCUUGUUGAAGAGGACGGCGGAGAUGCCAAUGUUCCUGCGCAGAGUCAGGCUCACGGCAGAGCGCAGCAGAGAGGACAGGUGGUAUAACCGGUGAAGUGCCAUCUGAAGGAGGAAAAACACACAGUGACGAGAUGAUGGGACUGUGUCUCUGAGGGAAUGUGUGGGCGGGAGUCAAAUCAGGACAUCAUGGUCGUUUAUUCGUCAUAUUGGCAUAUUGAGUGUUUAAAGUUUGCACUUUAUACAAAAUACCUCAUUCUUUUUCAGUUGUUUUAGCAAUACAAAGGAUUUCAAAUGAGUUUUCUGCCUUUAAUUCUUUAAAGAAUUCUUCUUUCAACCAUUUUUCUUCAAUUUUGUUUUUGGAAUAAACAUUUAUCACACAAUUUCACUGAUUUAUUCUACAAAUAUUUUGGUUGUCCUUUUUUUUUAAAAUGAGGACCUUGCUUAAAAUAAAACACUCCAGGGUCGACGCGAAUACAGAACGUGAAAAUAACGAAUUUGAUCUCAGGGAACUUGACGAGGUCCCCUCCUCCGUAUAGCCUCUGCAGUUUGGUCACCUCCUCAGACAGGUUCUUCUGAUAGGAGGGGCCGCCGUCCACAAUGCCACCUGAAGUCCUGGAGAAGCCCGGACAUCAAAUUGAGUUAUGUUCAGGAGAUGAUAAGCACAUGAAACGAUAACAACUGUUAGCUUACGUAAGCAUGAUACCACAGCUUAAAGACACCUUUUGCAAUUCUGAAGCACACAAACUAUUGUCAUAUGAGAAAUCUGAAAUGUUGUCCUUCAGGUCGUUAUCUUUGUAAUGUUUGUGUUUUUUAUCAAAAAGCACUCUGUUCUCCGACACGUAAACAAUCAGCCAGUCGGCCAUGUUGGAUAUACAGGUGACUCAGACGUCGCAACAACACGUUAUCUGAUGGGUCAGAAGUGGAAACACAGAAUGCACCCUGCUCCGAAAAAAUAAAUGCCGCAAUAUCGCAGGACGGGAAAACAUCGCUGAUGUGAACACUUGUAUUUACAGGAUACAUGUUCGAUAAAAAAUAUUGACGUCUGAAAUAAUGGCACAAAAAAAACGGUCCCAGUGUGAAAGGACCUUAAUCGGUAAUCGGAUUGCCCGCCCCCCCCCCAAUAAUCGGCAUCAGCCCCAAAAACUCCAUAUCAAUCGGGCCCUUGUUUUGAGACAGUCUUACUCUUACACUCAACCCUCUCAUGACCUCUCAUUACACGGUAAAAUUAGAUUAUAAUUUAUCAAAUUUGACUACUUCUUUACAUUUUAGUGCCUGAGUUCAAGCCCGAUUCUCUAAGAAAGGCUUAAAGAGUAUGCAUGUCUAUAUUUUCGCGAGAUUUACUUAGAUGUUGUUAGAGUAAAUGAUCAGGUGUUCCCACAGAUCAUUAUGCAUCCUGUAAAAAGUUAUCUUAAAGAAAUGAAGAAUUACAGAUAAGAUCUGUGACUGGUGCUCAUGGGAAAUGUAGUCCUCAUCUACAAAAUUACGAAAAGAAGAAAAGACUGAGGCAAAUAUCAGAAAGUACCACUGAUUACAAAAUAAAUAUUACAAUUUAAGCUAAAGGAGUGUAAAUGCCGGUUAAUUCUUAAGUUUUAUGAAAUAAAGAGGACUUAAAACUUUAAAAACUGGACAAAUAAUCCGCUUGGUGUCAUUAGUUUGGGAUGAAUUAUGAACUACUGUAGGACUUUAACCUUUAUGUUACGUUAUAUUCUAACUGUUUUUCAUGAAUUAAGUCUAAAACAACUGAUUUAAUUCAUUGUAUGAACUGAUGAAACUCUGAAGUACAGCCAUGUUGUUAAUGCUAACGUAGUUCAGCUGGGGUCACCAACAGCGAAUACACUAAAAGAUGCAGAGAUAGCUGCACACGAAACACAUGCAUCAUUAUAAAGUACGAUAAGAAACGCUGUUUUAUUAAAUGUUGACUUUCAGGGAGAAGGAAAAGCUGCUGUUUCCUUGUCUCCUUUCCUCUACCUUUACCUCUCAUGCUAACAUGUUCAGCUAACUUAAGCUGGCUCGGAUCUAUGUGGUCGUUUUUUAAACCCAGGUGAACUUUACGCUCUCCGACAGAAUAAACACGCUUCUGUUGUGAUUGAAUCUAUUCAUGCACCGAGUCAGAUGACAUUUUUGAUGCCGUUUCUGUCCAAACUCAGGACUCACCUUGGGUUUGACACUCGAAGCGCAGAUCCAAAUGUGAGACACCGCGGUGGAUUCU
rnacentral:lncRNA from 1 species